UACGUAGGGGGCAAGCGUUGUCCGGAAUCAUUGGGCGUAAAGAGCGUGUAGGCGGCCCGAUAAGUCUGCCGUGAAAGUCCAGGGCUCAACCCUGGAAUGCCGGUGGAAACUGUCGGGCUGGAGUCCGGAAGAGGCGAGUGGAAUUCCUGGUGUAGCGGUGAAAUGCGCAGAUAUCAGGAGGAACACCAAUGGCGAAGGCAGCUCGCUGGGACGGUACUGACGCUGAGGAGCGAAAGCGUGGGGAGCGAACAGG
rnacentral:rRNA from 1 species